rnacentral:rRNA from 1 species
UGGGAAUAUUGCACAAUGGGCGCAAGCCUGAUGCAGCAAUGCCGCGUGAGUGAAGACGGCCUUAGGGUUGUAAAACUCUUUCGCUAGGGAAGAUAAUGACGGUACCUAGUAAAGAAGUCCCGGCUAACUCCGUGCCAGCAGCCGCGGUAAUACGGAGGGGACUAGCGUUGUUCGGAAUUACUGGGCGUAAAGAGUUCGUAGGCGGACUAGCAAGUUAGAGGUGAAAUCCCAGGGCUCAACCUUGGAACUGCCUUUAAAACUGCUAGUCUAGAGACCGGAAGAGGUUAGGGGAAUACCUAGUGUAGAGGUGAAAUUCGUAGAUAUUAGGUGGAACACCAGUGGCGAAGGCGCCUAACUGGUCCGGUACUGACGCUGAGGAACGAAAGCGUGGGGAGCAAACAGGAUUAGAUACCCUGGUAGUCCACGCCG